rnacentral:rRNA from 1 species
AUGAAACCACCAGCUUUUGGUGCUUCGGACUUGGAAUUGAUAGAUCUCCCAGGAUCUGAGAUGUGCAAUGCAAACGAGCAGAAACUAGAAUCGUCAGGCAAUCUUAACACUGUAAACUGUAAUGGUACAGGUUCUGCGCCAAUUUCGAAUGUCACUAGCAUGCCUAACUUGCGAGAAGACAAAAGUGGAACUGCAGAUCAGCUCGGUGCAAAUAACACAGCAGAGGACCCCAAAUAUGACAGUGGCCCUUCUCGUACAUGUAGAGGAUAUCCCACGAUCCAGGAUUUGAUAGAUGACUGCCCUUCUUUUGAUCUUGGCUUCUAA